rnacentral:rRNA from 1 species
GCAUAUCAAUAAGCGGAGGAAAAGAAACUAACAAGGAUUCCCCUAGUAACGGCGAGUGAAGAGGGAAGAGCCCAAGAUUGAAAGCUGGCGUCUUUGGCGUCCGCAUUGUAAUCUCAAGAAGUGUUUUCCGCUUCGGACCAUGCCUAAGUCCCUUGGAAAAGGGCAUCAUAGAGGGUGAUAAUCCCGUACAUGGCAUGGAGCGCCCGAAGCUUUGUGAUACACUUUCUAAGAGUCGAGUUGUUUGGGAAUGCAGCUCAAAAUGGGUGGUAAAUGCCAUCUAAGGCUAAAUAUUGGGGAGAGACCGAUAGCGAACAAGUACAGUGAUGGAAAGAUGAAAAGAACUUUGAAAAGAGAGUUAAACAGUACGUGAAAUUGCCAAAAGGGAAGGGUAGGAGGUCAGAGAUGCGGUCUGGGAUUCAGCCUUGCUUUUGCUGGGUGUUUUUCUCAGAUUGCAGGCCAACGUCGGUUUUGGGCGCUGGAGAAGGGUGGAAGGAAUGUGGCACCUCUCGGGGUGUGUUAUAGCCUUCUACUGGAUACAGUGACCGAGACCGAGGACAGCAGCGUACUCGCAAGAGCGGGCCUUCGGGCACCUUUACGCUUAGGGCGUUGGCAUAAUGGCCCUCUACCACCCGUCUUGAAACACGGACCAAGGAGUCUAACAUGUAUGCGAGUCUUUGGGUGGCAAACCCAUAGGCGCAAUGAAAGUGAAUUCAGGUGGGAUCCGCAAGGUGCACCAUCGACCGAUCCUCACGUCUUUUUAAGUCGUGGAUUUGAGUAAGAGCAUACCUGUUGGGACCCGAAAGAUGGUGAACUAUGCCUGAAUAGGGUGAAGCCAGAGGAAACUCUGGUGGAGGCUCGUAGCGGUUCUGACGUGCAAAUCGAUCGUCAAAUUUGGGUAUAGGGGCGAAAGACUAAUCGAACCAUCUAGUAGCUGGUUCCUGCGA